rnacentral:lncRNA from 1 species
CAGCAUGCCAAAGGAGAGGGUCACCAUGUAGACCAGGAGGACUGGUACUGACUCUAUAGAGAAAUAUCACUGCUGCUGCAGAAUGCCAGCAAGAAAGAAAACCUCUGAAAUCCAGAAGAUGCUCUGAGAUUCCUCCAGAGACCCCCAUAUCCAGCUGUAAAAGUUAAUGGAUGAUCCCAGGAGCCCACAGUAGGCAGGAUGACAAAGGGCUCAAUAUGUAAUAAAAAGGAUGAUGUACCUCAACUCAACAGGAAUCUCAUUAUGACUGAGGUUGAGUUGCUGACCAGGUGUAAAUGGAAGGGAACAGCACUGAAACUGAUAUCAAUAAGAAUGGAGUCCAAGUUAAAGACAGGUACACCUGAAAUAUAUCAAGACUCAGAGAUAUAAAGCUACCCAAGGUGACAAUGCCUGGUGCCUAUCAAAGGCCUUUAGAUAGACCCUCUGUAGAAUAACUCGAACUGCUGAUCACAACUCCGACCCUCUUCAGCUGGAAGUAGCCAGAAUGGUCUUCGCUGUAUCCCCCUCACAGCAGAUAGGGGUCCUCCUUAGAAGGGGGAAUAUUGCAGAUAGG